AGUUAAUUAGCAGCGGCAGAGUCGACGGACUUUUUUCCUCUCUCCAUUUUUCACCUCACACCUGUAGGGCCUUUCUGUGUGUUUUUACCUGUUGCAAGGUGUGUUUUGUUUGGGAUUGGGCUUGUUGUGGUGCUCCAAGUGUUAAAGUGGAUGCAGAAAGUGGGACAGUCGGACCCACAGCUCAGGUGGGACAGUCGGACCCACAGCUCAGGUGGGACAGUCGGACCCACAGCUCAGGUGGGACAGUCGGACCCACAGCUCAGGUGGGACAGUGUCUCCACGGGACAACUCCACAAAUCUGGGCUUUGUGGAAGAGUGGCAAGAGGAAAGCCACAUCAUGCUGGGCUCCCUGACUGCGGUGUUGUCCUCACCAUGUGUCACAGUAAAACACAUGGAGCACCUUCAGCACACGGUGCACUUUGUGUUGAUCAGCUGGUAAAAACACCAUUGAAGUGAAUCUGAGCUCCAGCUGCUAACAGGACAACAUGUUAAAGUUCACUGGGGGUGAAAACUUCUGCAAUAAAGCUCUGAACUUUGGUUUUUUUUUUUUGAAAAAUAAAAAUGUCAUUUUUUUUUGUUUGUUUUAAUAUUUAAAUAAAUGUUUAUAUUUUCUGUU